rnacentral:rRNA from 1 species
GACAGAGGGGGCAAGCGUUGCUCGGAAUCACUGGGCGUAAAGGGCGCGUAGGCGGGAUGGCAAGUCAGUCGUGAAAUCUCUCGGCUCAACCGAGAAACGUCGGCUGAUACUGCCGUUCUUGAGGGAUGCAGAGGAGACUGGAAUUCCCGGUGUAGCGGUGAAAUGUGUAGAGAUCGGGAGGAACACCAGUGGCGAAGGCGGCCAACUGGGCUGCCUCUGACGCUGAGGGACGAAAGCGUGGGUAGCAAACCGGAUUAGAAACCCUGGUAGU